AAAUUCCUGAGAGUAAAGAAAGAAAUUGCGAGGGAUCGAUUGAUGGAGGGCAUUGAAAAUUUAAUUGAGUGCGCUGAGGAAUUUCUACCUUUUGGAGGAUCACGAGCCGCCGAGUGGUGAGAAGAUUUGUUGAGGUUGAAUGAUUGAAUGAGCUGGGUUUGGCGCGAUCCAUUUCAAGCAGCUUUGGGCCUUAGUAAUACGGUCUCACGAUCCUUUUGAUAUUCAAUGACAUCUGGACAAGUAUUCACAUAUCCCAAUCAGCAAUUGGCUUGGCAUUGUUUUAGCUGAGGUGGCCGGCUUCCUCUGUUUUCUCCAUCUCGUCCUUCUCCAGAUUUCGGGAUCUGGUCUUGUCCGCGGCCGAAAUCAUCGCUGGUCCAUCCAUGGUCGAACGCGUUCAGGCGUCGUCUUCGUCGUCUUUGUGGCCGUGUUUGUCUUCCUGAGUAUGACCUCUUCUUCCUCUGUUUUCCUUCUUGAUAUGUGAGCUCCGUCCACGGCGGUCGGGAUCUUGACCUUGGGUAUCAUGGCCAUAUCUAAAGGCGGCUUCAGAUCUGGAAGCCAUGCCUUUAGUGCCACAUCCGCCAUUGAAGAAAGCACGACUUUAGUUCAAAUCUGAAGCAGAGGUAGCGGAAGACAUGCUUUCUUCCCCAGCAUGACAUAACCAGUCCAGAUCUGAAGCUCUGCUCACGAAUGAGCGCAUUUCAUGGUCGUCUGGACUGCGAGCUCGCCGCCAAGGCUCACGAUCAUGGACAAGCCUCGCAAGCCAAGGACGAGUUAUGCGUGCGGCUCCGGACGCACGACCCCAGUCCAGAUCUGAACAGGCAAGGACUGAGCCGAACGCGAGCGAUGAUUAAGGGGUAGGUUGGGUCGACUGCUAGUGACACCGAAAGUGGUGGAGAUAGCCGGAUUGGGUGGUCCUCUGUGAUGGAGGAGGAAGCGCCGGUGGCCAUGGAAGACAACCAAAUCGGUAGAGGAAGGAGGAAGAAGAGAAAAAUCAUAUUUUCCUUUUUAUUCCACUCAGCUGACACGUGGCAAUUUAUUCUUGGAUGCGAGUAAAAAAAUGCCACCUAAGAUGUUGACAUGGUAUGAAAGGGAUAAAGUUUGAUAUGAAGUUUGAUAAAAAUCAUAUUUUCCUUUUCAUAUCAAACUUUAUCCUAUCUCACUUAUUUUAUUAUAAAUUUUAUUUUGACCGUCAAACGUAACGUUUGGGUUUUA